rnacentral:rRNA from 1 species
UACGAAGGGGGCAAGCGUUGUUCGGAUUUACUGGGCGUAAAGGGCGCGCAGGCGGCUCUUCAAGUCAGAUGUGAAAGCCCCGGGCUCAACCUGGGAACUGCAUUUGAGACUGAAGAACUCGAGUUCGGGAGAGGAUGGCGGAAUUCCCCAGUGUAGAGGUGAAAUUCGUAGAUAUUGGGAAGAACACCGGUGGCGAAGGCGGCCAUCUGGACCGAGACUGACGCUGAGGCGCGAAAGCGUGGGGAGCAAACAGG